rnacentral:rRNA from 1 species
UACGUAGGGUACAAGCGUUUAAUCGGAAUUACUGGGCGUAAAGCGUGCGCAGGCGGUUAUGUAAGACAGGUGUGAAAUCCCCCGGGCUUAACCUGGGAACUGCAUUUGUGACUGCAUAGCUAGAGUACGGUAGAGGGGGAUGGAAUUCCGCGUGUAGCAGUGAAAUGCGUAGAUAUGCGGAGGAACACCGAUGGCGAAGGCAAUCCCCUGGACCUGUACUGACGCUCAUGCACGAAAGCGUGGGGGAGCAAACAGA